AGUUUGAGCCAGUCACUCCCGCGGCGGCUACAGCGAGGCCACGCCUUUUAAAGGAGUCGACGGUUCCGCACCAGCUCUUGGCCUCUGGCCGCCCUUGGACGCCUAAGGCAUAUCAGGGAAGUUCCAGAGGAACAAACCCACUCCAGUCCUAUUGAGCCGAACUUCCUGAAAGAUCAUCUAGUCCAACUAGACUUCACCAGGCACAUGAAUCACCCAAGAAGCUUGUUAAACUGCAAAACCUGAUUCAGAAGAGCUGGCUGCGGCUCGAGGUUCUGCAUGUCUCAUGGACUCCCAGGUGGGAAAUCCUCCAAUGUACACAAGCCUAAAGGCCCACAAAACGUGGAUCUGCUGUGGCCUGAGGAGCGGCACUGACUCACCCUCUGGAGACCACACCAGAACUCCUGUCCCUCCUGCCCUCCCGUGGGUUGACUUUGCCUUCAGCCAACACCUCAGUUGGCAGGGGUUCUUUAUCUGAUGGAUGUCAAUGCUCAGGGAGGCCUUGGAGACCACUUGUUGAAGACGACAGAACUUCUUUCACUCUGAGUCUCUGGAUAACUGUGGACAGCAAAGUCCCCAGCUCUUUCCAUCUCCUUCAGUCAGACUCCACAUGAGCAAAAAAUAAACUAUUGUACUAAG